rfam:Glossina fuscipes fuscipes unplaced genomic scaffold Scaffold420, whole genome shotgun sequence.
GUGAUGGCACGUAGCUGGACAUUGAUCGCUAGACCAUAAUUAUUGUUUGCAGAUCUGCUCAGUGGCAUCCGCCACACCAAGACGAUUAUAUUUUCCAUCAUAAAAUUAAAUCUUUUUUUGAACGGCUU